AGAGUUUGAUCAUGGCUCAGGAUGAACGCUAGCUACAGGCUUAACACAUGCAAGUCGAGGGGAAACGACAUCGAAAGCUUGCUUUUGAUGGGCGUCGACCGGCGCACGGGUGAGUAACGCGUAUCCAACCUGCCCACCACUUGGGGAUAACCUUGCGAAAGUAAGACUAAUACCCAAUGACGUCUCUAGAAGACAUCUGAAAGAGAUUAAAGAUUUUAUCGGUGAUGGAGUGGGGAUGCGUCUGAUUAGCUUGUUGGGCGGGGUAACGGCCACCAAGGCGACGAUCAGGUAGGGGUUCUGAGAGGAACGGUCCCCCACAUUGGAACUGAGACACGGUCCAAACUCCUACGGGAGGCA
rnacentral:rRNA from 1 species